CCUCAUACUUUUAUUUCAGGAUCGAAGACACACAACACCCAAUUUUUUUUCACGAUCGAAAACAACAGUCGCGCGCAACGUUCAUCGUCUCUUCCUUCUGCCCGUUCGUUCGUCGUCUCUUCCGUCUGUCCGUUGCAUUCGUCGUCUCUUUCGUCUGCCGCCUGCGUCGUCAUCUCUUCUGUCUGCCGCCUGCGUCGUCUUCUCUUUCGUCUGCCACCUGUAUCGUCGUCUCUUUCGUCUGGCUGUUUGUUCAUUGUCUCUUCCAUCUGGUUGUUCGUUCAUCGUCUCUUCCGUCUGCCCGUUGUGUUCGUCGUCCCUCACAAGCCACUGUUCGUCGCAAGCCGCCACUCAAACAAAGUUGCGUUCAUCCGUCGCCGUUCUCAAGCCAUCGUCGCCGUUUCUGCCCUUUUUCAAUCCGCUUAUGCCUUUUUUUAGUCUAGUCCGCCGCCAUCAACAGGUUAUUGCUUACGAUUUACCUCUCGAUCGUCAACUCGGGAACAAAGAAUUCGCUGAGAAUAAUUUGAAGCGCCCAUUCCAAUCUUGUAGGAUUUCGCUUAUUGAAAAUGAGACAUUGUUGAAGUUGUAAAGUAUCUACUUCUUGUGUUACUUAGUAAACUUUUUUAUCUUCCAUCGAGUAAAAUUAGUCUUUUGAUGCUGGUGAUUGGGUAUGUUCCGUUUUUACAGGAGAAGGUGUAGAAGUAGGAGGGUUCAUAUCAGAAUUGGAGUGAGGAAUCUACUAAGCUAAUACCAUGGCCGAUGUGGUGGUUCGAGGAUACAAUGGCUACAAUACAAGAUGGGCGCAUAAGGUCAUUGAACGAGUCUUCCUACCAUCAGAAGAACGGGUGUUGCUGGCGCUGCCUCACCACUUGCUGUGACGCUUGCCAAGUCAAAAUUUGGGAGUUAUGAUGUGGAAGUAUCUUCUUUGAGGCAUGAAAUAAAAGAGUUAAAGAGAGGUUGGAAACCGCAAAUGCAAGGGCUCAAUCGUUUGAGAAGAAGUAAGGAUAUUGCAACAAGAAAAGGUUCAUAUUGUAGCUUAGACAUGUAUAUCGUACAUUGAUAUAUAUAUACAAUUUCUUUGAUGGAAA